GAUGAACGCUGGCGGCGUGCUUAACACAUGCAAGUCGAACGGAAAGGCCCAAGCUUGCUUGGGUACUCGAGUGGCGAACGGGUGAGUAACACGUGGGUGAUCUGCCCUGCACUUCGGGAUAAGCCUGGGAAACUGGGUCUAAUACCGGAUAGGACGAUGGUUUGGAUGCCAUUGUGGAAAGUUUUUUCGGUGUGGGAUGAGCUCGCGGCCUAUCAGCUUGUUGGUGGGGUAAUGGCCUACCAAGGCGUCGACGGGUAGCCGGCCUGAGAGGGUGUACGGCCACAUUGGGACUGAGAUACGGCCCAGACUCCUACGGGGGGCAGCAGGGGGGAAUAUUGCACAAUGGGAGCAAGCCUGAGGCAGCGACGCCGCGUGGGGGAUGACGGCCUUCGGGUUGUAAACUCCUUUCGCUAGGGACGAAGCGUUUUUGUGACGGUACCUGGAGAAGAAGCACCGGCUAACUACGUG
rnacentral:rRNA from 1 species